UACGGAGGGUGCGAGCGUUGCUCGGAAUUACUGGGCGUAAAGCGUACGCAGGCGGCUUGGUGUGUCGGAUGUGAAAGCCCCGGGCUCAACCCGGGAACGGCAUUCGAAACUGCCGAGCUGGAGUUCGGGAGAGGGAAGUGGAAUUCCUGGUGUAGAGGUGAAAUUCGUUGAUAUCAGGAGGAACACCGGCGGCGAAAGCGGCUUCCUGGCCCGAUACUGACGCUCAUGUACGAAAGCGUGGGGAGCAAACAGG
rnacentral:rRNA from 2 species